AAUGAACGCUGGCGGCAGGCUUAACACAUGCAAGUCGAACGGUAACACGAAACUGCUUGCUGUUUCGCUGACGAGUGGCGGGCGGGUGAGUAAUGUGUGGGAAACUGCUUGAUGGUGGGGGAUAACUACAGGAUACGGUAGUUACUAAAGCAUAAUGUUGCAAGAUGAUAGGGGGGGACCUGUGUGCGCCUUGCCAGCUGGUGUGCCCACUUGGGAUUAGUUAGUUGGGGGGGUAACGGACCACCUAGUCGACGAUCCCUAGCUGGUCUGAGAGGAGGACCGGCCACACUGGAACUGAGACACGGUCCAGACUCCUACGGGAGGCAGCAGUGGGGAAUAUUGCACAAUGGGCGCAAGCCUGAUGCAGCCAUGCCGCGUGUAUGAAGAAGGCCUUCGGGUUGUAAAGUACUUUCAGCGGGGAGGAAGGGAGUAAAGUUAAUACCUUUACUCAUUGACGUUACCCGCAGAAGAAGCACCGGCUAACUCCGUG
rnacentral:rRNA from 1 species